rnacentral:tRNA from 1 species
AGCGGGGUAGGGUAGCCAGGUCAACCCGCCGGGCUCAUAACCCGGAGAUCCCUCGUUCGAAUCGAGGCCCCGCUACC